rnacentral:lncRNA from 1 species
CGUAUUUCCCACGACCCGUAAAGGCAGCAUUGGGCGCACGCGGACACAGGAAGUAGUGUGUGAAGGAAUCCGGGAGUGACUAAAGUUUUAAACCAAGAAGCAGAAGCAGAAGAAGAAGGAGGAGUUCGCGGGACUUUAAUUUGAACCAAGGGACAAGAGCACAUACACACAAUAACUGCUCGUUGAACUUGGAAAAAUACAGAUGUUUGUUUAACUGUUGAACAACUUCACACAGAUCACUGCAUCAACAGCCACAAAAAAUUGAGCUUGGUGCCGUGGGGGGGACCU